UACAUUCAAGAAUAGCUAUAUGAGGGUUUAUCUAUAGGAUUCUUACCUGAGGAGCUUCAUGUAUAUCCUGUUGUAAAUGGGAAUAUUGCCAAUCCAGUACCCUUGAAAUACUUUAAGCAGUUCCCUGAUCAUGUAGCUACAGGUUUUGCAUAUUUGGCUGCAACAUUUCCAACCACAGUUAUGAUUGGCGCCGGGGAACCUGCAAACCACUUAACUUCUUGCAGUGGAGACUCAGUGUCAGCAUCCCACAAAGAAGGGGCGUUUGCCCAUUAUGCUGUUCCAGCUUUGGUUAAUUCAAAAUCACAGCCAGAACCAUUGAUCACUCGCAGUUACAGUUCUGAACUACAAAAUGGAAAAACUGAAUCAACCAGCUGGGCUUCACCGGGUCUGCCUCUGUUGCAAUCAAGUGAGGAGCCAUGUUGGUUGUUUGAGGAUGGGGAUGGGAGAAGACAUGGGCCACAUUCUCUUGCAGAACUUCAUUUUUGGCAUCAUAGUGGCUACCUUCCUGAUUCAUUGAUGGUAAGCUUCAAGAAACACAGUUGCUAGUUAACUAAGCUAUUGUGAACUUUUUUAGGGUCAAUGUGUUGAACCACAAAAAUCAAGAGUGGGUCACAUUCUUUUUUUUUUUUGGGUGUCAUGUGGGUGGAUCAGUUAGCAAUAAAAAGUGUGCAUCAAUUGAAUUAAUAAAGAUAUCAAAGAUGAGAUUAAAGCAGACCAUGUUACUUAUUCCACAUGAUUCUUUGAACUCACAAUGAUUAUGGAAUGGAAGAAAUAACAAACUUGGGAUAUUGCAUGUUCUUGGUGGUGCCUCCAUCUGUAAAAAAAAUUCAUUGUGGUCUGUUCUGUGACGGGACAUCCCUUUGUAGCCUUGCACCUGUCUUGCUCCCCGGUACAUCAUGUGUGUUUUGAACUUAUUCUCAUAUUGCCUACAUUAAUGAUGAGACUAUUUUAAUUUUCCCAAAUCACAUGAGUUUCAUUAAGUCAUGUCAUUGUUAUUUACAAUCACCUUUCUUUUGUUUCCUAGGCACCCUUCUUGAUUGAUAAGCUAGGUUAUGUAGGGUAGAGGUUUCGAAUACCUACCAAAAGGUAGUGCUAAUGUGUAUUAUGGUUGGAUUAUAGUAUGUCCCAUGUUUGAGGGGGAUCGGAAUUGUGCAGUGGAAUAAGAAUCUUGUGUUGCAGUUGUUUCUAUCACCCACCUUUCAAAGAGCUGGAAAAAAAUAAUAA